UCGUGACGUAUAAUCUAGUGGACGGUUCUUCAAAAACAACAAUUCAACCACCUCGGUAGCUUGCUAGCCAACGUAGCCGAAAGAUUCAAGCUGUUUUUACGCUUUCGGUGUAUAUUAGCUGCUGUGUUUUAGACACAAUUCUAUCGUAUAUACUUGUUAGCCUAUUUAAUUUAAUGUUACGUUUUUUUUAUUAGUCAGAUAUAGUAGCUGGCUGGUUAAAUUAGCACUAGCUUAGUCGCUAAUGAUAGCUAGCUAGCUAACAUCCCCGAACAUGAGGUCACUAAGCUUCUCCCCUCCUGGUAAAGAAGAAGGGGUCUGCUGGACGGAGAAAGAAGCUCUGGGGCUGAACAUUGUCGUGAAAGAGGAGAAGGAAGAGGAGGAUGUCACAGUUGUUGAUAAAACGUUUACUGGAGACAGGAGAUCAAGUGGAGACAUAGGACGAGGAGAGAGACGUGAUCGUGUAUCCUCUGGGGAGCCUCAACAUCAUGAUGCUAACGAGGCAGAGAAGAGUCUCUCCCGAUCAUAUCACCUCAAGAAACACCAGAGGAGACCCACAGGGAAGAAAUCUCACUGCUCUGACUGUGGGAAAGGUUGCAAAUCUUCAUCAGAACUUAAAAUACACCAGCGAGUACACACAGGAGAGAAAUCUCACCACUGUUUUGAUUGUGGGAAGAGUUACUUAAGAUCAGAAUCACUAAAAGUACACAUGAGAAUUCACACUGGAGAGAAACCUUAUAGCUGUGAUCAAUGUGGGAAAAUGUUAUUCACACAAGCUGCCUGAUAGUACAUCUGAGAGCACACACCGGAGAGAAACCUUACCACUGUUCUGACUGCGGAAAGAGUUUUAUUAGUUCAACAAAUUUAAAAUCACACCAGAAAAUACACAUAGUAGAGAAACCUUUUAACUGUACUCAAUGUGGGAAGAGGUUUAAUCACUCAAGCUGGCUGAUAGUACAUCUGAGAGCACACACAGGAGUGAAACCUUAUAGCUGUGAUCAAUGUGGGAAGAGUUUUGUUACAUCUAGCCAUCUGACUAUACACCAGAGAACACACACAGGAGAGAAAUCUUAUAGCUGUAGUCAAUGUGGGAAGAGUUUUAUUCAGUCAAGCAGCCUGGUAUCACACCAGAGAACACACACAGGAGAGAAACUUCAUAGCUGUGAUCAAUGUCACAAGAGAUACUCUGAUAAAAGAUCUCUGAUCAAACAUCAGAAAAUACAUACAUGAAGUAGUUGUUUCAUGAUAUCAAUGAAAUGUCACAAUGUAGAAUAUUUGAAUGAUGUCACAAUGUAGAAUGUUUUAACAUUGUAGUAGGAAUACAAAGGAUUUGAAUUUGUUAAAAGUCCAUAUUGAUACAGAAACACUAAACCAUGAUUUAGAUGUAUUAAGAACAAGUUGAUUGACUAAGUCAUGAAAAAUGGAAUAAACCACAUUUUGGCUCUGAUAAAAGAUAUGCCUCUGGGGUCAAAAUGUUCCAUGUCAGAACUAUGGUUCAUUGUAAAUAUGUAGUGGGUCUAAAGUUUGUUUUAAAUUAUCACUCAUUAAACACGAAUCAAUCAACACAUGCUUCUCUUUGAACGACUUAAUAUAAUAUUACACUUUUAUGAAAUAAAUGAAAAUAAACUUUUGGUUCCUCAACUGCGUUGCCCACUCCAGUCAGCAGAAAGAGACACAGCAGAAGUGCCUCUUUUUAGAUUUGAUUUGAUUUAUAUAUUUUUUUAUUCCAAAUGCAGAUCUACAAUUUACAUUGUUACAUCAUACAAAACAGAACACAGGUAUUAACAAGAAAAUACUAAAACAGACAAAACAUAUAAAUAAUUAACUAUUCUAGUGUAGUUGUAAUCACUCUGAAAAAAUCUAUAAUGAUUCAGGAAGAUGUUAUUGUUGUUGUUAUUCACUAGGAUUAAUGUUUUAAUAAAAUAGUUACAUUCAAUCAGAAAAA